UUUCCACUGGUCUGUAUAUCGUCUCUCCAGAUCUGCAUCUUUAUGUUGUUCUGCUAAAUUAACACGUCUGAUGUUUUGUUUUCAGAUGAAGCUGCAGGAACAUCAUGUGCUUCUGGAAACAAACAGAUCUCUGUUGAGACGACGACGAGCAGCGAGCGGAUCACCAGAAUCACAUGAUCCUCGCAAACACACGAGAGGCUGCGUUCUCCAAACCUGCUGGACGAGUGCCGAGGACGAACAGGUGAGGAGGAGAAUUCAACGACUGAGCUUCAGCUCGACUGGACCACGAUGCUUUACUUUCAUUUAGUCGUUGAAGAAAAACUGUCACAUGAUCAAGUGUCUUCAGCUUUCCGAAAAUCAACAGCUCAAACUCGACAUGCAUGAAGAAACGACAGCGACAACAUCAACAUCUUCGUGUUAUGCAGACGAGGGCGCUGCUCCAUACAACAGCCUCAAGUCAUGUUAUCGCUCGUCUUCCGCUACAAACGGUGCUAAUUUUCCCAUCGAAAACUGGAUUACAACGAAUGAACAAAAUCACCACCACCAUCAUCAACUUUAAAUAUUUCAUCUCAUCGAGGCGGAGAAAAGGACACAACCCUGCAGACAACAGGUAAAUGCCGUUAUCGCUGUUUUCCGUGUUUGUGAAGUAAAUAUGUUUACACAUCUUAUUAAAAAUGCCAGGUGCCGGUGUUUGACAUGUGUUUGACCAAUCAACAUACACAUAUGUCACUGAUAGUUCCUAUAGUGCUGGUUUAGGGUGUGUUCACACUUGUGGUUUGGUUCGCUUGGUUCGUUUGGUCUGGACCAAAAAAACAGAAAAACAUUUAGCGUUCAGAUUGGCAUUUUUAUCGCUGAACCAAAAGGUACUGAACCUAAAGGCACAGGGACACGUUCACAAUCUGACUGGUCGGUGUAAAGCCUGUGGGACAGAGUUUGCAGGUAACACAGCGUUUGCCAUUGAAUAAACUCAUUUUAAGCGCGAGAGCUUAGUUAAACUUGGAAAGAGUGCCAAGCACAAGAAGUGUGUGUGGCAAACAAAUCAGGUUCGAUUAUUAAGGCUUUCAAUCGCCAGGAUGCUGCCGGCUGUUCCGCUCAAUUGGCAGAGCUGAAUGUCAAAUUUAACACGGCCUACACCAUCACCAAAGAAGAGAACCGUGAGAACACCACAGUUACAUUAUCGUCAGCUCAGUACAUCCCUUUCAUUAUCGAUGGAGACACCGACCUGUCUGUCAAGGAGUGUGUGAUAAUCUAUGUCCGCGUCCUGCUUGAUGGACAGCCCACAAACAUCCUCGUCGGACAUGUUGAGGUGGAACACGCAAAUUCUGAUGGUGAGGAUGUUUUUUUAUUUAUUUACUUUUUAUAUUUAUUAUUAUUAUUAUUAUUAUUAAUACACAGCCUAUUUAGUAUUAAAUAGUAAUAUACAAUUAAUAUCAUAAUUAAUCAGUUUCUUACUGAAUGCGUAUGUUGGUUUUUCUAUUGUAAUUGGUAGAGCUGCAUGAUUCUGGAUAAAUUGAGAAUCACAAGUUUUUUGUUUCAAACACAAAUCACAAUUCUCCCAUGAUUCUGAACAACUAAACAAAAUAACAUGUGAUUUACUAUAGGUUCUGACAAUAUGUCAAUUGCUGCAGUCUGUUUAAAAUGUUUAAUUGAUCUGAACAAAUUAUUUUAAAAAACGGUUUGAUGAAUGAUUCAAUGACUCGCUCAUGAAUACUUCACUUGUUUCAUUACUAGAUGAAUCAGUGUUUUUCUGAAUGAAUCUCUUGAAUGAAUGAUUCAAUGACAAAUAGAUUUUAUAACAGUCACUUGUCACCACCUUGUGGCAUAAUGAUGUAAUCGAUACAAUUGUUAUUUCAAGUUAUCUAUUACUUUCAAAAGGUGCAGUGCUCUAUUGUGAUCGCUUCUGUAGACGCCAGUGUUUAUAUUCAUUGUAUUUAUAUAAACUUUUAUUCAUGUUUAAUAGGCAAAUUUUUGUCAUUUAGGAAUGAUAUCGCAAUGUUUUAAUGAUUAAUCAUGCAGCUCUAGUAACUGGAUUUAUUUGUUGAAUGUAAACAGUAUUUAAACCAGUGGGAAUUAUUUUAGGAAUCUUUGAAGCCACCAAGUCAGCAUUUGCUGGUCCUGGAGAGUCAUGCCGUGAAUCUUGGGAGGAAGGGAGGAGUAUCGGUGAAACUCCAAGAGGAGGCGGGAAAGCACAUCAUCCCAUUUCACUGCAUGCCUCAUAGGUGAGUUGAUAAUGGUCAUUAACUCCCAGAUUUAAAAAAAAAAAAAAAAAAAAAAAAAAGAAGAAGAAGCAGCUAAGGCUCUCUGUCUUGAUAGCAAACUGAAAUGUCAGAUUUGUUCACUAUUAUAGAUUGGACCUUGCCCUACUGUCUGCCCAGUAGGAUUCACCUUGGGUAGGCAAUGUGUACAACCUGCUCCACUUAAUUUGGAAGACUUACCACUUCAGCUAAAAAUCCAGAAGGGAGUUAAAACACUUUGGAGUUGAACUGGAUGUGUCGGUGAACAAUCCACAUGUUACCACAUGUAUCCGGGGCAAGGGAAGGAGGGGACGCUGGCCAGUACACAGCUGUAUAUGCUCAUAUGGACCAUGCAUCAUCAAUGAAUGCCGAUAUAGCUGGCAGAGCAAAGCAUGGCAGUGUAAAGUAUAGGUGGAAAUGUUCAUUUGUGGAAAUGGCCCCUGUAAAGUGAGUUAAAGGGAGGAGAGUGUAUAAAUUUGCUGUGUUCUUCUAUGCAGGUCAAAGAGAGCGUGGAGGAUGGCUCAUUCCUGGCAUUCUGUCAUUUCUUGGCAGAUUUAUUUUCUGCCAUCAGUAAAUACAUUUCUAUUUCUGCAAAGAAAUGAUGUGAUCCUCCCCCAGGUAAGCUUUACCUAGUGGUCAAAGAAUAAAUCAUCAUUAUUUGAAAUCUCAGUUCUUUGCCAUGUUAAGAGUGCGACAAAGUUAUGUCUAGAUGGAAUCACAUUAACAGGCAGACAGCAGUCUGAGGAACCUUAUCCUCAACAUGGCUCUGAGGUCAUGUCCAAGUAAAUCAAUCAAAUAAUCACAAUAUAGAUUGUUUUUGUUAAAAGUUUUAAGCAUUUAAGAGCCAACCUGUUACAGUUGGAUUGUAUCUAAGUAAGGAAUGGUUGUGACUGUGCUCUUGCUGAGGAGGAGUUCCAGACCUUAAAACUCUGGUGUUCAUGUCCUUCAAAGACAAGAGCUACCAUGGCUUAUGGGAAGUCCUUCUGACCAAGGAACCCUAUUGUUCAGAUUUACAGAACAUCCUUCAUCUGGUAAGGAUCAUGUCGGUGCAGUGUGAGAGAGGGUUCUCUGUCCAGAAGCGCAUUAAAAAGUCAGACAUUAGAUCUUCAUUACACCCCAACACAGUAGAAGAUCUGAUCCGAAUCAGUGUUGAGGGUCCUCCUUUGGAGGCGUUCGAUGCCUCAGCCUCAGUGGAGAAAUGGAUGGAGGAGGGCUAAAGAGCCACAAGACCAAAUUUCAAAUCCUGGCCAAAGGAUGUGUAAAGCCCCAGUGAUUGUUGGUGUUGAUUGGUGUUGUUUUUAAAUAAAAGAAAUCUGUUAAUAUAUAA